rnacentral:rRNA from 1 species
CCCAGUCCAGAACGCUGUAAUCGACGGCAAUGGAAUGUAUACCGACUCCACCCUAUAGGGCGGAUGAUUAAGCCGCCGCGAAUCGCCCUUGUGCCCAGCAGCCGCGGUAAUUCCAGCUCCAAUAGCGUAUAUUAAAGUUGUUGCAGUUAAAAAGCUCGUAGUCGGAUUUUGGCAUCACGCCGAACUGUCUGCCGAUUGGUAAGUACGGUUUGGCGGGUGCUUCCUUCCGGAGGCUCGUUCCCUUCUUCAUUGAAGGGUUCGUUGGUUCCGGGUCUUUUACUUUGAGAAAAUUAGAGUGUUCAAAGCAGGCCUAUGCUCUGAAUAGGUUAGCAUGGAAUAAUAGAAUAGGACUUUGGUUCUAUUUUGUUGGUUUCUAGGACCGAAGUAAUGAUUAAUAGGGACAGUUGGGGGCAUUCAUAUUCCAUUGUCAGAGGUGAAAUUCUUGGAUUAACGGAAGAUGAACUUCUGCGAAAGCAUCUGCCAAGGAUGUUUUCAUUGAUCAAGAACGAAAGUUAGGGGAUCGAAGACGAUCAGAUACCGUCGUAGUCUUAACCAUAAACUAUGCCGACUAGGGAUGUGGAGGCGUUAACUUUGUACGACCCUUCAUGCACCUUAUGAGAAAUCAAAGUCUAUGGGUUCCGGGGGGAGUAUGGUCGCAAGGCUGAAACUUAAAGGAAUUGACGGAAGGGCACCACCAGGAGUGGAGCCUGCGGCUUAAUUUGACUCAACACGGGAAAACUUACCAGGUCCAGACAUAGUUAGGAUUGACAGAUUGAGAGCUCUUUCUUGAUUCUAUGGGUGGUGGUGCAUGGGCCGUUCUUAGUUGGUGGAGUGAUUUGUCUGGUUAAUUCCGAUAACGAACGAGACCUUAACCUGCUAAAUAGUAGUCCGAUGAUUUCUUCAUCGUGUCGACUUCUUAGAGGGACUAUCGGUGUCUAACCGAUGGAAGUUUGAGGCAAUAACAGGUCUGUGAUGCCAGCGAUCGUUAACCUGCAGGACU